rnacentral:rRNA from 1 species
UACGAAGGGGGCUAGCGUUGCUCGGAAUCACUGGGCGUAAAGCGCACGUAGGCGGACUCUUAAGUCGGUGGUGAAAUCCUGGGAGCUCAACUCCAGAACUGCCUUCGAUACUGAGAGUCUCGAGUCCGAGAGAGGUGAGUGGAACUGACGAGUGUAGAGGUGAAAUUCGUAGAUAUUCGCAAGAACACCAGUGGCGAAAGGCGGCUCACUGGGCUCGGUACUGACGGCUGAGGUGGCGAAAGCGUGGGGAGCAAACAGG